rnacentral:rRNA from 1 species
CGCGACGCUGGCGGCGUGCCUACAUGCAAGUCGAGCGGACAGAUGGGAGCUUGCUCCCUGAUGUUAGGCGGACGGGUGAGUAACACCUGGGUAACCUGCCUGUAAGACUGGGAUAACUCCGGGAACGGGGCUAAUACCGGAUGGUUGUUUGAACCGCAUGGUUCAAACAUAAAAGGUGGCUUCGGCUACCACUUACAGAUGGCCCCGCGGCGCAUUAGCUAGUGGGGGAGGAACGGGUUACCCAAGGAACGAAGCCUAACCCAACUGGAAAGGUGAUCGGCCACACUGGGACUGAAACACGGCCCAAACUCCUACGGGAGGCAACAGUAAGGAAUCUUCCGCAUUGGACGAAAGUCUGACGGAGCAACGCCGCGUGAGUGCAUGAGGGUUUUCGGAUCGUAAAGCUCUGUUGUUAAGGAAGAACAAGUACCGUUCGAAUAGGGCGGUACCUUGACGGUACCUAACCAGAAAGCACGGCUAACUACGUGCCAGCAGCCGCGGUAAUACGUAGUGGCAAGCGUUGUCCGGAAUUAUUGGGCGUAAAGGGCUUCGCAGGCGGUUUCUUAAGUCCUGAUUGUGAAAGCCCCGGCUUCAACCGGGGAAGGGUCAUUGGAAACUGGGGGAACCUUGGAUUGCAGAAGAGGAAGAGUGGAAAUUUCCCCGUGUAGCGGUGAAUUGGGUAAAAGAUGUGAGGAACCCAUUUGCCAAAGGCAACUCUUUGGUCUGAAAUUGACCCUGAGGACCGAAAGCUGGGGAAGCCAAACAGAAUUAAAAUCCCCUGUUAGUACACGCCGUAAACGAAGAGUGCUAAGGAUAGGGGGUUCCGCUCCCUUGAUGGUGAACUAACGAUUUAACCUCCCCGGUGGGGGAUUAUCGUCCUAAAAUGAACCCAAGAGAUUGGGCGGGGGCUCCCACAAGGGAGGAAAGAGGUGAUAA